rnacentral:rRNA from 1 species
UACAGAGGGUGCAAGCGUUAAUCGGAAUUACUGGGCGUAAAGCGCACGUAGGUGGCUUGAUAAGUUGGGUGUGAAAUCCCCGGGCUUAACCUGGGAAUUGCAUUCAAGACUGUCUUGCUAGAGUGUGGAAGAGGGAAGCGGAAUUCCAGGUGUAGCGGUGAAAUGCGUAGAUAUCUGGAGGAACAUCAGUGGCGAAGGCGACUCUCUGGUCUGUAACUGACGCUGAGGCGCGAAAGCGUGGGGAGCAAACAGG